rnacentral:rRNA from 1 species
UUGUUGCAGUUAAAAAGCUCGUAGUUGGACUUUAGGCAAGGCGGCCUGGUCACCCUCUGGGUGUACUGGGAUCGCUGCGCCUCACCUUCGGGGAGCUAGUCGUGCUUCGGUGCGCUAGGGAACCGAGCCUUACCUUGAGGAAAUUAGAGUGUUUAGAGCAGGCUUAUGCUUGAAUACGUUAGCAUGGAAUAACAUGAUAGGACUUUGGUUCUAUUUUGUUGGUUUGAGGACCAAAGUAAUGAUUAAUAGGGACAGUUGGGGGCAUUAGUAUUCAAUAGUCAGAGGUGAAAUUCUUGGAUUUAUUGAAGACUAACUAAUGCGAAAGCAUUUGCCAAGGAUGUUUUCAUUAAUCAAGAACGAAAGUUAGGGGAUCGAAGACGAUUAGAUACCGUCGUAGUCUUAACCAUAAACUAUGCCGACUAGGGAUCGGUGGAAGUCGAUUUUGACUCCAUCGGCACCUUACGAGAAAUCAAAGUUUUUGGGUUCUGGGGGGAGUAUGGUCGCAAGGCUGAAACUUAAAGGAAUUGACGGAAGGGCACCACCAGGAGUGGAGCCUGCGGCUUAAUUUGACUCAACACGGGAAAACUCACCAGGUCCGGACAUGGGAAGGAUUGACAGAUUGAGAGCUCU